rnacentral:rRNA from 1 species
AUUGAACGCUGGCGGCAUGCCUUACACAUGCAAGUCGAACGGUAACAGGUUAAGCUGACGAGUGGCGAACGGGUGAGUAAUACAUCGGAACGUGCCCAGUAGUGGGGGAUAGCCCGGCGAAAGCCGGAUUAAUACCGCAUACGACCUAAGGGUGAAAGGGGGGGAUCGCAAGACCUCUCGCUAUUGGGGCGGCCGAUGUCAGAUUAGCUAGUUGGUGGGGUAAAAGCUCACCAAGGCGACGAUCUGUAGCUGGUCUGAGAGGACGACCAGCCACACUGGGACUGAGACACGGCCCAGACUCCUACGGGAGGCAGCAGUGGGGAAUUUUGGACAAUGGGCGCAAGCCUGAUCCAGCCAUGCCGCGUGCGGGAAGAAGGCCUUCGGGUUGUAAACCGCUUUUGUCAGGGAAGAAAUCCUUUGGGUUAAUACCUCGGGGGGAUGACGGUACCUGAAGAAUAAGCACCGGCUAACUACGUG